rnacentral:rRNA from 1 species
GACGAACGCUGGCGGCGUGCCUAAUACAUGCAAGUCGAACGCUGAAGGAGGAGCUUGCUUCUCUGGAUGAGUUGCGAACGGGUGAGUAACGCGUAGGUAACCUGCCUGGUACCGGGGGAUAACUAUUGGAAACGAUAGCUAAUACCGCAUAAUAGUAGAUGCUGCAUGACAUUUGCUUAAAAGGUGCAAUUGCAUCACUACCAGACGGACCUGCGUUGUAUUAGCUUGUUGGUGGGGUAACGGCUCAGCUAGGCGACGAUACAGAUCCGACCGGAGAUGGGGAGCAGCCGCACUGGGAGUGAGACACGGCCCAUUGGGCUACGGGAGGCAGCAGGAGUGCAUCGUCGGCAAGGGGCGGAGGUCUGACCGAGAAACGCCGCGUGAGUGAGGAGGGGUGUCGGGUCGUAGAGCUCGGUUGUCAGGGAAGAACGAGUGUGAGAGUGGAAAGUUCACACUGUGACGGUAUCUUACCAGAAAGGAACGGCUAACUACGUG